CCUACGGGAGGCAGCAGUGAGGAAUAUUGGUCAAUGGACGCGAGCCUUAACCAGCCAAGUAGCGUGAAGGAUGACUGCCCUACGGGUUGUAAACUUCUUUUAUAAAGGAAUAAAGUGAGGCACGUGUGCCUUUUUGCAUGUACUUUAUGAAUAAGGAUCGGCUAACUCCGUGCCAGCAGCCGCGGUAAUACGGAGGAUCCGAGCGUUAUCCGGAUUUAUUGGGUUUAAAGGGAGCGUAGAUGGGUUGUUAAGUCAGUUGUGAAAGUUUGCGGCUCAACCGUAAAAUUGCAAUUGAUACUGGCAGUCUUGAGUACAGUUGAGGUAGGCGGAAUUCGUGGUGUAGCGGUGAAAUGCUUAGAUAUCACGAAGAACUCCGAUUGCGAAGGCAGCCUACUAAACUGCCACUGACAUUGAUGCUCGAAAGUGUGGGUAUCAAACAGGAUUAGAUACCCUUGUAGUC
rnacentral:rRNA from 1 species